GACGAACGCUGGCGGCGUGCUUAACACAUGCAAGUCGAACGGAGUGGCGAACGGGUGAGUAACACGUAGGUGAUCUGCCUUGCACUUCGGGAUAAGUUUGGGAAACUGGGUCUAAUACCGGAUAGUGCAAGAUGAGCUCGGGGCCUAUCAGCUUGUUGGUGGGGUAAUGGCCUACCAAGGCGUCAACGGGUAGCCGGCCUGGGAGGGUGUACGGCCACAUUGGGACUGAGGUACGGCCCAGACGCCUACGUGAGGCAGCAGUGGGGAAUAUUGCACAAUGGGCGGAAGCCUGAUGCAGCGACGCCGCGUGGGGGAUGAAGGCCUUCGGGUUGUAAACUCCUUUCGACAGGGACGCGGUACCUGUAUAAGAAGCACCGGCUAACUACGUGCCAGCAGCCGCGGUAAUUC
rnacentral:rRNA from 1 species